rnacentral:rRNA from 1 species
GAGUACGGCCGCAAGGCUGAAACUUAAAGGAAUUGGCGGGGGAGCACUACAACGGGUGGAGCCUGCGGUUUAAUUGGACUCAACGCCGGAAAACUCACCGGGGGCGACAGCAAUAUGUAGGUCAGGUUAAAGGUCUUACCUGAAUCGCUGAGAGGAGGUGCAUGGCCGUCGUCAGUUCGUACUGUGAAGCAUCCUGUUAAGUCAGGCAACGAGCAAGACCCGUGCCCACUGUUACCAGCAUAUCCUUUAUGGAUGAUGGGGACUCUGUGGGGACCGCUGCUGCUAAAGCAGAGGAAGGUGCGGGCUACGGUAGGUCAGUAUGCCCCGAAUCUCCCGGGCUACACGCGGGCUACAAUGGUUGGGACAAUGGGUAUCUACUCCGAAAGGAGUUGGCAAUCUCUUAAACCCAAUCGUAGUUCGAAUUGAGGGCUGUAACUCGCCCUCAUGAAGCUGGAAUCCGUAGUAAUCGCGUUCCAACAUAGCGCGGUGAAUCUGUCCCUGCUCCUUGCACACACCGCCCGUCAAACCAUCCGAGUGAGGUAUGGGUGAGGGCACGAACUUAGUGUCGUGCUCGAACCUAAAUUUCGCAAGGAGGGUUAAGUCGUAACAAGGUAGCCGUAGGGGAAUCUGCGGCUGGAUCACCUCCU